UUGAACGCUGGCGGCAUGCCUUACACAUGCAAGUCGAACGGCAGCACGGGGGCAACCCUGGUGGCGAGUGGCGAACGGGUGAGUAAUACAUCGGAACGUGCCCGGUAGUGGGGGAUAGCUCGGCGAAAGCCGGAUUAAUACCGCAUACGACCUGCGGGUGAAAGCGGGGGAUCGCAAGACCUCGCGCUAUCGGAGCGGCCGAUGUCAGAUUAGGUUGUUGGUGGGGUAAAGGCCUACCAAGCCGACGAUCUGUAGCUGGUCUGAGAGGACGACCAGCCACACUGGGACUGAGACACGGCCCAGACUCCUACGGGAGGCAGCAGUGGGGAAUUUUGGACAAUGGGCGCAAGCCUGAUCCAGCCAUGCCGCGUGCGGGAAGAAGGCCUUCGGGUUGUAAACCGCUUUGUCAGGGAAGAAACGACUCCGGGACGAAUACCUCGGAGUAA
rnacentral:rRNA from 1 species